GUUUAAGGUGAGCAGCUACACAUAAAAGAAGAACAUGGAGAAUCUGCUCAGAGGUGUUCACCUGCAACGCAGCUGCUGAUGCAGGAGGAAACACAAGCGAGUAUCUAAACAACCAUCGCUGGAUGUUGAACAUGGAAGGUCAGGUUGUGUGUGAAAGAGAGCAGAGCAGCCCAACUUUAUCUCUGAUCUUGAAGCGCUGAUUGCCUCAUUCUACAAUUGUAACCUCCAGUAUCAGGAAGAGUUUUUUCAACUCAACACCUUUGAGUUUGUUCAGAGAUGGUUUCUCGACAUCAACUUAGAACGUGGAUCAAAGAUGAAGACAGGGAAAAUGACUUAAAAGAAAACUGGCCAAGUUGUGCAGAAAAACACUACUGUGAACCCACAGGUUUCCUCUCUUCUUCUUAAAAAACUUACAGACUUCGAAUGGAAUUUUGUUUAGACACUUACACCAUAUACUGUAAUUUGAUUAAAAGGAAAUAAAGUUUCAUGCAUUGUAAAUGAUGUGCUAUUAACUGUUAAAGGAGCAUUUCACCCGUAAAAAACAUUAUUCUUUAUUGAAAGU